AAAAAACCCAAAACCCAGUUCGUCCCCCACCCACAAAAAACCUGCAAUCUAGAAGAAGAAGAAGAAGAAGAAGAAGAAGAAGAAGAUGGGAAGAAAAAAAAGCCCAGAACCCUUCCCCCCCUGGCUCGCCCCACCGCGACCUACAACCCACCUCCCUUUCCCCCGCCGCCAGGAUCUCGUGAUUUUCAAUGUGGGUGAGUUUUGAAAAUACUUUUGAGUUUGAGAUGAUUUUUGGACUGGUUUGUGGUAGAUCCACCUAAUCUCGGAUGGAAUUUUUUGGGGUGGGUGAUGGGAGAUUUUUGGAGGGGUGAUGGGGGAUGGGAGAAAGGGGUGGCUUGGGUGGGACAAACUGGGGUUUUUUUUUUCGCCCUCUUCUUCUUCUUCCUCUUGUUGUUGCAGGUUUUGGGGGGACGAACUGGGGCUUUUUUUUUUCUCUCUCUUCUUCUUCUUCUUCUUGUUGCAGGUUUUGGGGGCUUCUUCUUCUUGUUGCAGGUUUUGAGGGGGAUGAACUGGGGCUUCUUCUUCUUCUUGCAGGUUUGAUGUGAGUUGCUUGGGGGGGGGUGAGGGAUUUUUUCAAUUUUUUUUAUAGAAAAUUCAAGUUUUUUUAAAAAAAAAUUAUUUUAUUUGCCACAUGACAGACAUUUGGCAGCCAAGUGGCAUAUAUGUGGUAGCCACAUCAGCAUUUAAUGGAUCAAUUGAUGAAAAAUGUAAUGGAGGUACUAUAUUGAAAUAAAAUAGUAGUUGAUGUAUGAAAGUGAAAUAUUUUGAAGAUGUUGUAUGCGAUUGUAAUAGACCUCAAACUUGAAGGGGUACUGUGUAAUUUACCCAUAAUUUUUUGUCUAUAUAAUAAUAUUGUAUCGUUGAGAUGAAACUUUGUCCAUAUAAUAUUUGC
rnacentral:lncRNA from 1 species